rnacentral:sRNA from 1 species
GUUGGGCAUGGUAGCACAUGCCUGUAAUCCCAGCUGCCCAGGAGGCUGAGGCAGGAGGAUUGCAAGUUUAAAGCCAGAUGCUGCAAUUUAGCAAGACCUUGUCUCAA